rnacentral:lncRNA from 1 species
CACUAGAGAAAGGCAAUGCCUGAAGCAGACUCCAAGGGAAGAGCAGGUCUGUGAGUCUCUAAAGUAGUUUGUGUUUCAGUAUAUGGAAGACAAGAGUAGAUCUUCAAUGGGUGGCAAAGUAGUGAAGAUGGACAUUUCUGACCACUUUCAGCCUUAUAAAAAAAGCUGUGGAUGUCUAUAGAGAACAAUUCUGUUUUUCCUUGUAGCUGCACAAUUUCACAUACAUGAAGUGUGGUGGGACUGUGGAGAGCCAUAUACCAUGACCUGCCUGCAGUCACCAACAUAACAUGUGCAGAUGGACAAAGAGAUAUUUGCCUUCCCAUCCUGAAAGUGAUUUGAGAAGAUGACAAUGUCUGGAUGGAUGGAAGCAGCCACCCAGCACUGUUGCAUUAUCCAUGCUCUGAGCCAAGGGAACAAGAGGAGUUUUUACUGAAACACGACCUGCUGGCUCUCAACAGCUUUUUGUUUGAUCAAGGCAGCUAGACAACCAGAACCAUGGUGAAAUCCUUGUGAAAUCCAUGUGUUCCAUGCCAUGUCGGAAGCAACUGUUGUCGUGUGGAAUCCCAAAGGAGCAGAAAUAGAAGGGUUUCCCUCAGGCAGAGAAGAUAAAUGGGUACUAUGCUCACUUUGUGUUUAAAGCUGCAGUGAGUAUGUAACUUUCUGUACUGAGGGGAAUGUUACAGCUGCUUGACAGAUUCACACAGUGAGAAAGUGGAAAUGUAAGGAGAAAAUGUGCUAUUUGCAUUUCUAAGUAAAAUGUCCAUUGAGAGCCUGAACACAAAUAUGGAUCAAUAGGAAGACUUCUACCCUGUCCCAUGGGUUUUGCAUGACAUUCUAGACCUAAUUUACUCCCCUAAGGUUGGGAUGCAUUCCCCAGAGGAAAGGAUAUGAUUUAAGUGUAUUUAGGCAAGGAGUAAAGGUAAUAGUGAGGAUAACAGCUAUGAGAAGGAAGAACAUGUGCCGGAUAUGUCUUAAAAAGAAAAAGAAAAAGACAUCAGUCAAUGUUGUUCAUCAACAAAAGUAAGGACAGGAAAUUAAUCUG